AAAAAAAAAAAAAAAAAAACCAAUUAAAAAUAACUUAACAUUAGACUAACUUUCAGACUAGUAAGUGGACAUGAGUGGCUUUAAUUCUAAGCUGAGUUAGGGAUAAAAGUAAUUGUUGUGCCUUUCCGUUCCAUACUAAUGAGUUGCAAAAAUUAACCCUUCUUUAUCAUAUCUCUCUCUUUUCUUCUCCUUCCUUCCUGAUAUGUUGUUUGUUCCUUUGGUUCUUUUUUCCUCCAUGCAUUCUUCUUUUAUGUUCCUUUAUUACCUACUGGAGGGUUGUGAUGUGUUCUAGCUAACUAACACUAGCAAGUGCACUGGUCGCGUUCAAAUAAUAAAGUAGUGAGAAAGAGUAUCAUCCCACACGGAUCAAAACUGCAAUUUGUAAUUAAACCAAUACUACCCUUUGUUAUUUGAGAAACCAAAUAUUUGAUUAAAAAAAUUGAUAAUAAAAAUUAAAGCAAGUAAAUUAAUUAAGAGGGUCAAAUUUCACCUUUACUUAUGUAUGAUAUAAUGAUAAUCAAUUUCAAUGCAAAUUUUAUAUCAUGAAAUGGUAGGAUUCAUCAUGACAUUGUCAUUUUCAGGUAGAAUAUUCAUCUAAAUUAAUAGUCCUUAUUUGUGUAGCAAUAAUCUAAAUGCAUAAAGAACAGGAAUCCCUUAAUUCAUUCUAUGCGGUUAGGAAUUAAAUAGACCAAACACUAUUUCUAAGGUUCUCCUCCAGGUAGCCUAGUCCUAAUGUGAUAUGCAGUACCCUUUCUAAAAAUCAACUAUGCAUUCAAAAGAGAAAUAAAUUCUAGCUUCUCUAUUUGAACUUCACUCGAAUCAUCAAUCAAUCAAACACACAAAGCAUUAAGAUCAAAUAUUGCAUAACCUCAUGAAAAAUAAAAUCAUUGCAUUGAAUUAAAAAUCAUAACAAAAGAGUUUACUCCAUCCUAAAGAUGGAAGAACACAAGAAGAAAGGAAAAUACAUCAUUAAAGCUCAAAAAUAGAAAAUAAGGAAAUCAAACUCUGGUGUUGAUGAAGCUUCAAUGUGCUGUGUCUUCUUCUUGCUCUCCCAAAAAUGUUCUCUUCUUGAUUUUUGAUUUUUGCUCUUUCAUUGCAACCAUAGUUAUUAAAGGCCCAAGGCGCACCAAGGCGCCAAGGGUCCUGGAGCCUAGGAGCAAGGUGCAAGGCGAGCGCCUGAGAAAAGAGAGGCGCAAAAAUAAAAA
rnacentral:misc_RNA from 1 species